rnacentral:rRNA from 1 species
AACACAUGCAAGUCGAACGAAGCCUUCGGGCUUAGUGGCGCACGGGUGCGUAACGCGUGGGAAUCUGCCCCUUGCUUCGGAAUAACAGUUAGAAAUGACUGCUAAUACCGGAUGAAGUCUUCGGACCAAAGAUUUAUCGGCAAGGGAUGAGCCCGCGUAGGAUUAGGUAGUUGGUGGGGUAAAGGCCUACCAAGCCGACGAUCCUUAGCUGGUCUGAGAGGAUGAUCAGCCACACUGGGACUGAGACACGGCCCAGACUCCUACGGGAGGCAGCAGUGGGGAAUAUUGGACAAUGGACGCAAGUCUGAUCCAGCAAUGCCGCGUGAGUGAUGAAGGCCUUAGGGUUGUAAAGCUCUUUUACCAGGGAUGAUAAUGACAGUACCUGGAGAAUAAGCUCCGGCUAACUCCGUGCCAGCAGCCGCGGUAAUUC